AUUGAACGCUGGCGGAAUGCUUUACACAUGCAAGUCGAACGGCAGCACGGGGGCAACCCUGGUGGCGCGUGGCGAACGGGUGAGUAAUACAUCGGAACGUGCCCGGUCGUGGGGGAUAACGUAGCGAAAGUUACGCUAAUACCGCAUACGAUCUGAGGAUGAAAGCGGGGGACCUUCGGGCCUCGCGCGAUCGGAGCGGCCGAUGUCAGAUUAGGUAGUUGGUGGGGUAAAGGCCUACCAAGCCGACGAUCUGUAGCUGGUCUGAGAGGACGACCAGCCACACUGGGACUGAGACACGGCCCAGACUCCUACGGGAGGCAGCAGUGGGGAAUUUUGGACAAUGGGCGCAAGCCUGAUCCAGCCAUUCCGCGUGCAGGACGAAGGCCUUCGGGUUGUAAACUGCUUUUGUAUGGAACGAAAAGGCUCUGGCUAAUACCUGGGGCUCAUGACGGUACCGUAAGAAUAAGCACCGGCUAACUACGUG
rnacentral:rRNA from 1 species